rnacentral:rRNA from 1 species
UCUUGAUAGCUUGCUAUUGGGUGAACUUAGCGGCGGACGGGUGAGUAACACGUGGGUAACCUACCUCACACAAGGGGAUAACACUGGGAAACUAGUGCUAAUACCGUAUAACAUAUGCCUAGGGCAUCCUGGGCAUAUCAAAGGUUUCCGAAAGGGAGCCGGUGUGAGAUGGGCCCGCGGCCGAUUAGCUAGUUGGCAGGGUAACGGCCUACCAAGGCGACGAUCGGUAGCCGGACUGAGAGGUUGGACGGCCACAUUGGGACUGAGACACGGCCCAAACUCCUACGGGAGGCAGCAGUGGGGAAUAUUGCACAAUGGGGGAAACCCUGAUGCAGCGACGCCGCGUGAAGGAAGAAGGUCUUCGGAUCGUAAACUUCUAUCAGCAGGGAAGAAGGAAGUGACAGUACCUGAGUAAGAAGCCCCGGCUAACUACGUGCCAGCAGCCGCGGUAAUACGUAGGGGGCGAGCGUUAUCCGGAAUUACUGGGUGUAAAGGGUGCGUA